GUGGGGAAUAUUGGACAAUGGGCGAAAGCCUGAUCCAGCCAUGCCGCGUGUGUGAAGAAGGUCUUCGGAUUGUAUAGCACUUUAAGUUGGGAGGAAGGGCAGUAACUUAAUACCUUGCUGUUUUGACGUUACCGACAGAAUAAGCACCGGCUAACUUCGUGCCAGCAGCCGCGGUAAUACGAAGGGUGCAAGCGUUAAUCGGAAUUACUGGGCGUAAAGCGCGCGUAGGUGGUUUUGUAAGUUGGAGGUGAAAUCCCCGGGCUCAACCUGGGAAAUGGCUCCAAAACUGCAUGACUAGAGUACGGUAGAGGGUAGUGGAAUUUCCUGUGUAGCGGUGAAAGGCGUAGAUAUAGGAAGGAACACCAGUGGCGAAGGCGACUACCUGGACUGAUACUGACACUGAGGUGCGAAAGCGUGGGGAGCAAACAGGAUUAGAAACCCGAGUAGUCC
rnacentral:rRNA from 1 species